rnacentral:lncRNA from 1 species
CUUUUUUUAAUAGCAUCCCGCUCUUAUUUCAGAAUAAAAAAAUUUUUAAGGUAUGUUGAGUAAGAAUCUAUAGAGCAAUGAAAAUGCAAGAGCAAUAGCUAUGGGCACCAAAUGGUCAAUCUUCUUAUCAUAAUGUUGAGUGGAAGAAGCCAGGUCCACCAGACACAUGCUGCUCAUUUAUGCAAAGUUUGGACACAGGCAAAACAAAACUAGUUUGAUCGUGAUGGGAAACAUUAGAGAAAUGCAAAGACAUGACCAUCAUAAUUGUCAGGAGAAGGCAUUGGUUAGGAUUGGGAAGCGGCAAGCAGAAGCAUUUAGGGAUUGGCUGGCAAUGUUUUACUUCUCGGCUGAGUGAGGGUUGCAUCGGUGUUUAUUUGAUAACACGUUCUAGGGGCUGGGCAAGAUGGCUCAUGUUUGUAGUCUCAGUACUUUGGGAGGCCAAAGAUGGGAGGAUUGCUUGAGCCCGUGAGUUUGAGACCAGCCUGGGUGACAUAGCGAGACCCUGUCUCUACAAAAAAUUAAAAAAAAAAAAAACAAAAAAAACCAGCUGCGUGUGGUGGCACAGCCUCAAACUCCUGGGCUCAAGCGAUCCUCCCUUGGCCUUCCAGCCACUCAGGAGGCUGGGGUGGGAGGAUCGCUUGAACCCAGGAGUUUGAGGCUACAGUGAGCUAUGAAUGAGCCACUGCACUCCAGCCUGGGCAACAGGGCAAGACCCUGUCUCAAAAAAAAAAAAAAUUUAAUUUGAACACUUCUGUUUUGUGCAGUUUUCUCUGUUAUAUUUUACUUUUUAAAAAGAAAAAGCAG